GACGAACGCUGGCGGCGUGCUUAACACAUGCAAGUGGAGCGACGAACCAGGGCUUGCCCUGGGGCAAAGCCGCGAACGGGUGAGUAACACGUGAGUAAUCUGCCCUGGACUUCGGGAUAGCUUCGGGAAACCGAGAUUAAUACCGGAUAUGACAUUGUCUCGCAUGGGAUGGUGUGGAAAGUUUUUUCGGUUCAGGAUGUGCUCGCGGCCUAUCAGCUUGAUGGUGGGGUAAUGGCCUACCAUGGCUUUGACGGGUAGCCGGCCUGAGAGGGUGACCGGUCACACUGGGACUGAGACACGGCCCAGACUCCUACGGGAGGCAGCAGUGGGGAAUAUUGGACAAUGGGCGGAAGCCUGAUCCAGCAACGCCGCGUGAGGGAUGACGGCCUUCGGGUUGUAAACCUCUUUCAUCUAUGACGAAGGCUCUGCUUUUUGGUGGGGUUGACGGUAAUGGGAGAAGAAGCACCGGCCAACUACGUGCCAGCCGCCGCGGUAACAC
rnacentral:rRNA from 1 species